rnacentral:rRNA from 1 species
AAAGUCCGUAACAAGGUUUCCGUAGGUGAACCUGCGGAAGGAUCAUUACCAAUUCAACGGUGUGGUCGCGGCCUCCGGGGGCUUCCCCCCGGGCGGUAGAGGUAACACUCUCACGCGCCACAUGUCUGAAUCCUUUUUUUACGAGCACCUUUCGUUCUCCUUCGGUGGGGCAACCUGCCGUUGGAACUUAUCAAAACCUUUUUUGCAUCUAGCAUUACCUGUUCAGAUACAAACAAUCGUUACAACUUUCAACAAUGGAUCUCUUGGCUCUGGCAUCGAUGAAGAACGCAGCGAAAUGCGAUAAGUAGUGUGAAUUGCAGAAUUCAGUGAAUCAUCGAAUCUUUGAACGCACAUUGCGCCCCUUGGUAUUCCAUGGGGCAUGCCUGUUCGAGCGUCAUCUACACCCUCAAGCUCUGCUUGGUGUUGGGCGUCUGUCCCGCCUCUGCGCGUGGACUCGCCCCAAAUUCAUUGGCAGCGGUCUUUGCCUCCUCUCGCGCAGCACAUUGCGCUUCAGAGGGGCGUGGGCCGCGUCCACGAAGCAACAUUACCGUCUUUGACCUCGGAUCAGGUAGGGAUACCCGCUGAACUUAAGCAUAUCAAUAA